UCCAUAUCAUAUGGUCAUGAGCAA
rnacentral:piRNA from 1 species